UGGGUUCUAUAAGAAGGCAGGCUGAGCAAACCAGGCGAAGCAAUCCGGUAACACUCCUCUAUGGCCCCUGCAUCAUCUCUUGCUUCCAGGUUCCUGCCCUGUGUGAGCUCCUGUCCUGACUUCCUUUGGCGAUGAACGGCAAUGUGGAACUCCCCCCUCCACCUCACCAGGCUUCAGCCAGUCAGGGCGGCAGGGGCGUGUCUCCACCAAAUAUGGACUUGUUUACACCACCAGCUCUGCAGGUGCCAUCUUUCAGGCCCAGGCUGGCGUGGAAAAGACUCUCUGGGGUCAGUGAGCAGGACAGAACUCCCACGUCUGAGGCCUCUCUCUGUGGACCUUGUGAGGUAAAGCAUGACCCUCUUGUCUUGGGACACUGAUAUUGGGAUAAUUUUGUGAAUGAAUGCCUGAGCAGCAUGUUUUGUUUGUUUGUUUUUGUUUGUUUGUUUGCUUUGUUUUUUUUUGGGGGGGGGGACAGGGUU